UACGUAGGGAGCAAGCGUUGUCCGGAAUCAUUGGGCGUAAAGCGCGCGUAGGUGGCCUCAUAAGUCCGCUGUGAAAGUCAAAGGCUCAACCUUUGAAAGCCGGUGGAUACUGUGAGGCUAGAGUACGGAAGAGGCGAGUGGAAUUCCUGGUGUAGCGGUGGAAUGCGCAGAUAUCAGGAGGAAUACCAAUAGCGAAGGCAGCUCGCUGGGACGUUACUGACACUGAGGCGCGAAAGCGUGGGGAGCGAACAGG
rnacentral:rRNA from 1 species